AGAUUGAACGCUAGCGGGAUGCUUUACACAUGCAAGUCGAACGGCAGCGCGGACUUCGGUCUGGCGGCGAGUGGCGAACGGGUGAGUAAUAUAUCGGAACGUGCCCAGUAGCGGGGGAUAACUACGCGAAAGCGUGGCUAAUACCGCAUACGCCCUACGGGGGAAAGGGGGGGAUUCUUCGGAACCUCUCACUAUUGGAGCGGCCGAUAUCAGAUUAGCUAGUUGGUGAGGUAAAGGCUCACCAAGGCGACGAUCUGUAGCUGGUUUGAGAGGACGACCAGCCACACUGGGACUGAGACACGGCCCAGACUCCUACGGGAGGCAGCAGUGGGAAUUUGGACAUGGGGAACCUGAUCCAGCCAUCCCGCGUGUGCGAUGAAGGCCUUCGGGUUGUAAGCACCUUGGCAGGAAGAAACGGCGUGCCCUAAUACGGACGUCACGUCGACGGUACCUGACAGAAUAAGCACCGACUAAC
rnacentral:rRNA from 1 species